rnacentral:rRNA from 1 species
UACGUAGGGUGCAAGCGUUAAUCGGAAUUACUGGGCGUAAAGCGUGCGCAGACGGUUAUGUAAGACAGAUGUGAAAUCCCCGGGCUCAACCUGGGAACUGCAUUUGUGACUGCAUAGCUAGAGUACGGUAGAGGGGGAUGGAAUUCCGCGUGUAGCAGUGAAAUGCGUAGAUAUGCGGAGGAACACCGAUGGCGAAGGCAAUCCCCUGGACCUGUACUGACGCUCAUGCACGAAAGCGUGGGGAGCAAACAGG